rnacentral:rRNA from 1 species
GUUCUCGUUAGAUCACCAAAGUCAAGCAUCAUUGGGCGCGGUCAGUACUUGGGUGGGUGACCACCUGGGAACACCGCGUGUCGUU